AUUCACUCUAGGUGUGGCGGUAGCACCCGGUUUUCUGUUGAUAUGAUGAUUUGAUGAAAGUGACUCGUUUUGAGAGCGCGAUGUAGAGCUAGUUGCCAUUGGAGUUGUCUCUUGGUUUAAACGGAUUAGUUUAGAAUCCAAAUUGUUGUAUUAUAGUUGAUUUUUAAUCUAGAUAGAAAAUUGUUGUAAUAUAGAUUGUAGUUAGAAAGCUUGUAGCCUGUGCGUUUGGGAUUAGUGAGUUGUCCCAAGCGUGGCAUAACACCCCGUGAUUAUAGUUUGGUUUUGCUUCCGCAUUUAUUUUCAAUAUGGUUAGUAAGAAAGAUAGUUUGUUUUGGAGUAUUCAAGCUUAUAAAAUUUGGGGGUGUUACAGGCCUUGGAUCA